GACGAACGCUGGCGGCGUGCUUAACACAUGCAAGUCGAGCGGUGAGGCCCUUUCGGGGGUACACGAGCGGCGAACGGGUGAGUAACACGUGGGUGACCUGCCCUCAGCUCUGGGAUAAGCCUGGGAAACCGGGUCUAAUACCGGAUAUGACUCCAUGACGCAUGUUGUGGGGUGGAAAGCCUUGUGCGGCUGAGGAUGGGCCCGCGGCCUAUCAGCUUGUUGGUGGGGNGAUGGCCUACCAAGGCGACGACGGGUAGCCGGCCUGAGAGGGCGACCGGCCACACUGGGACCU
rnacentral:rRNA from 1 species